rnacentral:tRNA from 1 species
AAUUUAGUAGUCUAACAAGGAUGUGAGCUUUGGGAGUUCGUGGUCUCUUUAUUGAGCUAGUUGACUGAUAGGGC